rnacentral:rRNA from 1 species
AUGGUGGUCGAUGCCCUUGCGGUCAUCCUGGAUAAGGCCAAAUCUGUUGGCCAUAUCCACGGCAUAGUCCCUCACCUGGUAGGAGGGGGAGGGGUCUCCCUCCUACAAUAUGCAGACGACACCAUUAUAAUGGUGGAGGGCUUCGUGACCGACAUGGCAAACCUGAAGUUUCUCCUCCUAUGCUUCCAACAGAUGUCAGGGCUCACUAUCAACUUCGAUAAGAGCGAAAUGAUGAUCCUUGGCUAUCCUCUGGAGGAGGCCCAAGCCAUAGCUGGUCGACUGAACUGUCGCUUGGGGUCUUUUCUCACUACUUAUUUGGGGAUACCCAUUAGUGACUCGUGACUCACCGUGGCUGACCUUCGCCCGACAGUGACCCGGAUGCAGCACCGGGUCGAGCCCUAGAAGGGGAGGUGGCUCUCGAAGGCGGCCCGGGUAAUCCUCAUCAACUCCUCGCUUGCCAGCUUCCUAUGGUUCCUCAUGAGCUUCUACAGCCUUCAUGAGACGCUCCAUCAGGAGAUCGCCAAAUACCAAUCCAGGUUUUUCUGGGCAGGCGAGGGUGACAAGCAGAAGUACCAUAUGGUGAGUUGGCCUGACAUUUGCAAACCCAAGGACCAGGGUGGUCUGGGAUCUUGUCUUCUUGGCGCAUGA